UCUUUAUAGCCAUGUCCUCCCCGCAGCAGCGAGCCUCUCCCAAGAUGAAGCCAAUCGAGGAAGGGCUAGAAGAUGACGAUGAGGUCUUUGUGCCGGUGUCUCCCGCUCAUCAGUUGCCUUGAGCAGCACCUGGCGACCACGACAGAGGCUGACCUGAGGAGCAGAAGACCCACACUCUGCUAUGACCUUUGGUGGUUUGCUUCAGUCCUGCCAGAUGGGAAGUGAGGGGCGGCCGCAGACAGGAGUUGAGUGCUGCCUGUCCCGCUAGCCAGCUCCUUGUGCUAGCCGAGCCUUCUGAGUAGACCUCACUCUAUUUUCAGACAUGUAUUUUUGCAGUAGAUAUAUUAAUAUUGUUUUAAUUGACCUUGAAGCUGUCAACACAUCGCCUUUUCGCUUAUUUUUCUAAGUUGUGGCUCUUUUCUCACGUGUGCUUCCCCCCCCUGUCGUGGGAAUUUGGAACGAGUAGUUGUUUUGAUCAUCUUAGCGAUGUAAGCCAAAGUUGAGGCUGACACGACAUUAAAAAGUUUACCUUUUGUU
rnacentral:lncRNA from 1 species